GGCAUGUUUUGACCUUUAUCGUCAAGGGCAUAACCGACUACAAGGAGAAAAAGAAGAAGGCAAUUGAUGGCUGCCUCUUUGCCCUGAUGAUAAUAUACUUUCAUCUUUCUAAAAAUAAAGGCAAGAAAAGGGCUGAAAGACCGCCAAAACCCUGGAUUAGCAACUGGAGUAAGGAGCAGUUGGUCGAAAGAAUGAAUGCAGAAACAGAGAAAAUUUUGAGGAUUGUAAAGAUGGCGCAAACAAGAGAGAAAAUGAAAAAAAUAGAGAAAACAGAAAAAAACAACAAAUCAAAAAA